UUUUUUUUUUUCUCUCGGCUGAAAGGCGCCCCCUGGGUCCUAAGCCUCCUAUGCCAGGCUCAUCACUCUACCCUGAGUCACGAGAGGAACUCAGCCAAGCGAAGAGAGGCAGAAAAGUUCAGGUUGUGCUUAGCAGUGGUUCAGCUCGAGACCUGCACUGUCUGCAUCCCUGGGGCCUUUCAUCUCUUCUGUUUCCAUUUGUCACAACUUCCCAGAAAGUGGGCUGUGGCAGAAUGCAUCUCGCCUGACUCCAGCCAGCUGCAGGUGUCUGGAAGAGGGUUGAAGAUGGUCAGAUGCUAAGGGCAGAGCCCCUCUUCUUCUCUCCAACCCCAAGCCCCAAGUGCCAGGGUAAGAAAGCUGAGAUUCAGAAGGGUUCUGCACAAGAGAGCCAAUUUUUGGAUGCUGCCACGCAGAGAGAGACAACAGCCAGCCAGUCUUGAAGAGCAGCAGCCAACCAACAGAGAGACGGCCACUUCUCCAUGGCCUCCCGGUCCCUGUCCACAGCCCUGCCGCAGACGGGAGCAGGGGGGUAGUGGCAGAGGACAGACCACCUUCUGCCACCCUCCACUCAGGCCACCAGGGCCAUGGCCACGUCUAGCUUCCCUGGGAGUGGAGGCCGAGAGCUUUGAAGGAGAGCUUGACCUGGACAUUUUUAAGUACCAGCCUGUGUAAUCCUCACAGCAGCUGCGAGAAUAAGAGCUGCACCUGCCAGAGGCCACCCGGUUAGAAAGAGGUGGUGCUGGGAUCUGCAUCCACUGGCCAUCUCUGGAGACCACCAUGAGCCAGGGCCCCUGGUGACGGCCCAGGGAAGGGGCAGGUGCGGCGCCUUGGAAGGUCGGAGGAGGGCAGAGGCAAAGAAGGCCAUGGAAACGCAUUUCUCAGCGGUCCCCGGUGGCCGUUUCUGCCGGGACGCAGCAUCUGCCUCACUUGCCCUCAGGCCCCAAGGGCUGCUGGUCGACCUCGGGAUCUACCAGAGAUGAUGCAAACGCCGACUGAACAAUCUGAAACCCAAAGGACUCGAGGAGAGACAUGUUCUGCUGGGGAGAGAAAGGCGAGCCAAGGGCAGGGCCCAGGUCCCCCAGGGGACCCCCGAGGGCCCGGACAUGCACCUUCUGGAUGUGUUUGUUCAAGUAGGACUUGGAGCGGAAGAAGCUCCCGCACUCGGGGCAGGGGUACUUCUUCUCCCCGUCAGACUCCAUUUUGUUUUUGGGGACCGCCAUGUCACAGGAGAAGGAUCCAUUGGUGCUCUGUUUCUCGGGCGUCUUCAGGUCGCUGGCAUCCGAGAGGUCGCCGUAGGAGUCGGAGCUCUCAAUCGGAUCCUGAUGUGAGCAUUUCUGGCCUUCUAGGAGGAAACAGAACACAGAGGAGCGGUGAGGCCAGGCUAUGGGGAUGCCCCCUCGGAGGGGUCGCCAGGGGCCAGCUCACAGGCUCGUGGAGGGCAGCCGAUGGCCAGCCACCGCCCAGCAGAACCCACAGAGGUUCAGCUGGUCAGUCAGGGAGCCUGGCGUGCCUACAGGGGUGAGACAGCAGGGCCUGGGGCUGCCAGCCUCCCUCGCCGCGGACUCUUCAUGCAGGCGCACGUGUACCGCUCACCACCAUCUUGGCCUGCUUCAAGGAAGGCUGUGGAGAGGGGACCUCCUCUGUCUCCACCCAGGACAACCCAAGACCCCCAGCUCCUAGGCGCUCUCUUGGGUGCCUCUGAGGGUAAAACAGCUGUUGUGAUGAUGCUGAGCAGGUACGUCAGUGGCCUCACCUCUGCAGCAGACUGGCUGAACCCUAGCAAGGCAGAACCAGAGCCGCGGGCUCCUCAACCCAGGCAGACCCUAUCGACGGCUGAGUCAGAGCCAGUCCUUUUCCCAACGCUGCAAACACAAGCCCUGCCCUCACUGCCUCUGCCUGCCAGAAGCCUUCCAGGCCAAGUUGCCAAAGCACACAGCUUAGAAGGAACUAAACAACUCAAUCGGCCAGCUGUCCCUACACAGGGCCCAGAACAAGCUGGUCCUCGAGACAGCCCUCACUGAUCUGCCUUGCCCGGCCCACACGUGAAUCCUCCACAAUGAGCUCCUUCCUGCCUGGGUUCAGAGCGCCAUGCCGGGAAGGGAAGUCGGUGAUGGGAGCGUGGAGCAUGCCAUCUCUGCCAUCUGCCAAGCCCCUGGCGUCAUCCCCAAGGCAACAACAACUUGAAAAACCACACAACAACCCGAAUCACCAAGUGGAGGUGGGGCCUAGGGAGCUCUACGCAAACCAACUCGGAGUCGGCACCAUGCAUCUCACAAACGCGGCCAGAGGCUCUCCGGAAAGGACUGGUCACAGCAACCAACCACCCCUACCGAGGGGGAAGCCAGACCUUGGCUCCCCCUGCCCACAGGGUCAAAGGAGAAGAAAGCAUUCAGCCACAGCUCCACGCCAUCCUUAAAGGGCCACAGGCAAUGGACAGGCCCAGAGGCUCAUCAUGCAGGGCUCCUCUUCCUGCCCUGGGCCCGGGUCGUCCCUGCAGGGCUCUGGACGUGGGGGCUGGCCAGGAGCGAGGCGGGUGCUGGGGAAGAGGAGGCGGGGGCUGGAUCUCGGCAGGGCCCUAAAGCCUCACUCACCGCCCUGGAGUGAGAUUCCCCACUGUGACUUUUGUCCUGGAGGCCACUGCCACUCAGAUCUCGAGCCUCCUUGAGGCGGCCAGCAAGCCGGCAGCCUUCACGCCUCCCCACGCCCGGCCCAGCGCCCCCACAACACAGCCUGCGCAGAGAAGCAAAGUGCAGAGCAAGGGGUCGCUUGCCUUUGUUGCCAUAGGUCCUGGCGCAGUGGAACGCUGCUCCCCCAUUCGGGAUGGGCUCCUGGUGCCUGGAGACCUGGGGAAGGGGAACACCGUGGUGGGUUUUAACAUGGACCUUUAAGUAGGAGGCAGAGGAGAAACCUAAACAAGACAAAAGGAGAUGAGAUCCCGCAGCCGGCACACAGACACCUCUCUGCUUCCCCCACGCCUCUCCUCUGGCCGCACUGGCUAGCACUCCUAGAAGGGGCCCCUCCUUGGCUCAAAGGCGCUGCAACCACAGGAGCCACCUGGCUCAGGAGGGAGGGUGGCACUGUCCUCGAGUCGGCUUCUCUGCAGAGCCCGCUCUGCAAGGCUGUGGAGGCUGCCUGGAGGGAUGGCCUGAGAUCCCACUCCAGCCAGGGCCAGAGGCCAACUGCCUCGGUUCACUUGGCACCUCAGUAACAAGUGGUCUGAACGGAUGGUCCACAGCCCCAGACCAGCUGCAGGGACCACGGCUAGAAACGCUGUCAGGAAAGUACAUGGGGCUCCAGGGCAGCCACGGGACUCCAGCCAGCAGAACGCCGCUGAACACGUGUGAAGGCAAACCAUCUGCGCAAGAAGCCAGACAGAGGCAAGAUGAAAUCCCAAAGAAAUGCCUCCGGGAGUCCCCCUUCUUCUACCUGUUAAGACAUGCUCUAUUUUGCAAACUUUCUCACCUUUAGAAUAACUGGGUUUAGUAACUGUUUAGACCUUUUGAAGAACAAUGAAAAUAGGAAGUUAUGUUAAAGGGGGUGUGCAGUCAUCUCUUAUUCACAGUGGUCUUCUUGGUUCGGUUUUGGAGGAUCCAACAGGUUCACUUAAGGGAGAAGAAAUAGGCACAAUCCUUGUCUUUAUUUUGGGGGAGGGGCAAUCCAACCUUCUGGGAUCUGCUCCAGACCCACCCAGAUGCUCCAGUCAGUUUGAGCCUCGAGAUGCCUCAGGCUGGGAAGAGUGAUCUCGGGCCAAUUUCCACAGCAGCCAUGAGCCCGAGGAGAUGGAACCAGGUGGGCCAGUCAAAGGAUUUCCACUUGGGUUUCCGCAGGAAGGAGCUGGGACAUCAAAUCCUCCCAUACUCAAGGAUCCAAAAGUGCCUUCGGCAGGAACCAAAACUUUUCGGCAAAAGGCCCACUUGGGGUGCUAUGCCUAGAUGGUGUUCCUUUAGUCCACUCCAGACGCAGCUGACACAUCCUCGGGUACUUUCAUUCCCUCGUUAAAUUACAGUCACGGGGUAGCAGUGGGAUCCACUACUAAUGGGCCAGAGGCUGGAGAGUACUGUGUAAUGUCUGCACAAGACUUGUUUGAAAAAAGUCUGAAUUGGCCUGGGCUUUCGAAUGCUACGGGAACUACAAUAAAGGUCACCUUCAGCGAGUGACAGAGGUGUGCAGGCCCAGCGCACCGCGUGCAUCGCUCUGUGCUUUGCAGCCACAUGUACAGCUGCUAAAUGGCACAGCCUGGACUCUAGCCCAGGACCAUGUGCCACCAUGUGGUCCUUCACCACUGGGCAGACUCUCUAAUAGUCUCUGUGUCUUGGUCCUGGCCCUAGAAACAUCCCUUCAACUUUUGCAGUAGGCUCCAUUAUCACCAUUUACAUUCCUGUAUCUCUCUGCCAUGUUGGUGGAUUAGAAUGAAAGCUGCUGGUAGACAGGCUGACCUGUGGGAAUCUUAUUCAACAAAUAUCCCCCUGAUGGUAGCAGCUGGUGGUUCUGGAGGGAAAUGGAGGGCUGGGUGAAUCUUCCUUCCUUUCCUGACAAAGAAGACCCUCCUGGACCAGAUGCUGCUGUCCUGCCCUGCCUGGUAGAGCACGAUGUCCUGCGCUGUGACCAAGUGGUCUGCCUGGGGCCAAGCAGGGGACAGACUGACAUACAAGGGUCCCAUAUAAACACUCCUCGGAGGGAGGCUGUGGUCAGGAAGGAGCAGAUGAGACUCACAGGACAGAGGAUCUCAGCCCUGCCCCAUGGAUGGCGCUGCGGCCCUGGCAACCAACAGAAAUAUCAGGACUUUCCGACUGAUGCGAUGAUACCACUUUAGAAGGGAAUUUUUUUGUGUUUUAAUCCCUUGCGGGGCCCUCUGAAGUGGUUUGAAGCUCUCUGCACAGUGCACCAGGGCAGGGCCACUGCAAUCAAGAGGGACGGGAAAGGAGGGAAGGAGCACCAGGAACUAUUAUAUUUACUCCUUGAGGGAAAAGCUAUGCUGGGGAACACAGCAGAUGCUCAAUGAAAACUCACUGUUUUCUCCCGAAAAACGGUCUGGGGACCACGUGGCAGGGUCCCCUUGACGCUGCCCCAGCUGCAGACUACUUACUAUCUAUAGCAAAACCACAUGGCGGGUGGUAGGCGUGGAUCCACAGUUGCCACCUAAAGCCCAGAAUUUAAACACAGAGCAGCUCAGCAGCCAAGUUUUGGGGUAAAACAGAAGCCGAGUUUCUGUGAAUGUAUCUCUGAAGCCAGACACAUUUGGCCGGAAUUCUAAAGUCACCUGCCCGUUCACCACUGAUUAACCAAGAACCAAAGAGGAAGCUUGAUACAAGCAUCAGAGUGAUGGGGACACUGAGCACACACGUGACUCCACCACCACCGACAGGCCACCCUCUCUCGCGCUCCAGAUACGGAGAAUAUGCUACCACGAGGCGACUGCUCCUCCACUGCAUUUUCUUGCCUGGUGUGCUGUAAUUCGCACUCUGGAAGCAAACCCUCCUUGGCAGCUUCCACAUCUGUGCAGGGGUCAGGGACGGCUUUCUUCUUGUCCACACCUUGGUGGGGCUGUGCCCAACUGAGCCGUGCUGGAGGGGGGGCACCAAGUAGGCUUGGUCAGCUCAGUCCAGGGGACGGCAGGCUGUCUGCGUCUACCACUGGCGCUUGCCUCUGGCUGGAAAGAAGGCUUUCUCUACCCUUUAAGCAGAUAUUUGAGUUCAAGUGUUGUCUCGCUCAAAGACAGAAUCCCAAUACGCUUUCCCGCUCCCUCCCUCAUACACAUCUACACAAAGACCCGGGCUACAGAAACUUAAAAAAGAAGGGAAAUCGUGGCAAUCUACCAGGUCUUUCCCACUGUUCAACUCAACUGAUUUCCUCAACUUGAACGUGAGGAAACAGGCUUUUGUUGCCAUCAUACUCCUCCCACUGCAAGUUAUCUUCUCUGCAGAUGGGAUGGUCUACGUCCUGAUAUGUCUCCAGGACAAAGACAAGGUCAUCUGUCUCCAGUGUGGGGCUGGGCCACCGGCUGCAUCUCCCCUCCCCCAUUCUUCACAGGCAAGAGUUGUUCGUGUGGUUGAAAGUAGGCAGAUGGAUGGGUGGUUAAGCUGAUUGCUUAAGAAUUGCUGGGACUGGAGGAUCUCAGGGCACCUGGAUAUUCACCUGAUCCGGCCUCACCUGCUAACCGGCUGGCUGAACGUUAGCCUUUGCUUGAACCCUUGUAGAGAGAACAUCCAUUUAUUCCUGCAGCUCCUUCUGUAGUCACAGCCUUGAAAGGACGGCCCAGAGCUCCCUGCAUUCUGAUUCCAGUGUCUCAGUGUCUUGGCGGCCUAUCCUCUUCCUGGAAAAACUGCCUUCCCCUUCCUCUUCUUUUUUUGGAGGGGAAGGGAGGUGUCUUUUCCCAUUUCUGCCGAAGAAAUGAGUCCAGAGGUAGAAUCCUGCUCCUUCUCUUCUGAUGAAGACGAAAGUUGUUUUCUCUUCCUUCUGAGGAUCCAGGGUGGUUUAGACUAGAGCCCUCUUCUGUCUUCUUGGAAGAAUGGGACUUCCUGCUCCGACUCUGGAACCCAAAGCUGGGUUUUUCUGUUUUGGCUUUUGGGUUUGUUUUUUUUUUGGCCAUGCUACGCAGCUUGUGGGAUCCUCCUUCCCUGACCAGGGACUGAACCCAGGCCCUCGGCAGCGAGAGCGCGGAGUCCUAACCACUGGACUGCCAGGGAAUUCCCCCAAAGCUGUUUUGCUUACGACCCAGAUCUAGCGUUGGCUUUUCUGAGGAAAGGUGGGCUCUGGUUUUACUCUCCAGGCACCCCCACCCCGGCCACGUGGCCUGUGGCUGCUGCCCAAGUCCCCUUUACCAGCCCAGGGAAAACAAAUCCUGACGUACAAUAGUUGUUGGCUUUGCCACAUCAGCUGUCUCCUAACUGGGUCGACUUUCCCUGCUAUUCCCGGCUGCUCGCAGCUUUUCUUUCCUCCUGAGCGGGGCCCACAGGGGCUGUGGCCCUGGGUCCCCCACUCAGCUCCCCGCCACUUUGUAAUCCAGGCUUUAUCUCAGUUUCCUCAUUGGCAUCCUCCUCCGCCCUAACUGGUUUACUGCCUCUGGUCUCUGACCCCAACUCUCAGGCUGAGAACUUCAACCUUGAAACCCCGACAGAACACCCGCUGACAGCACCGUUGCAGCAGGUCUCGAGUUAGUUGGGGGCGCGGUCAGGAAGCCACGGGAUGAAGCGAGACAAGGAACCAUCUCUUCCUAGAGCUGGGCAGCCACAGCCUGAUGGCUCUCUCCACACACAGCCCCACUGCUAGCUCCCCGGAGGAAGCUCCUGCCAGAAAGGGCUCUAUUGACAUAUCAGAGAAUAGGACAGAUGCUUAAGCAGCUUUUCUGACCACCUCCCUGCUUCCACAGCAGGUUUCCUGGUGGUACAAACGUUGACAUCGAAUGGCCUUCAAGGCAAACCCCAGGUGUGCAGUCCCCGGGAGGAACCCAGCUCAGGGCACCAAGAGAACACCCAGCCACUCAGCAGGCUCCCUCCACCAGCAACCUCAGGGCAUGUGGAGAUAGCACAGGACUCAAAGUUUCCAGCCAAGGACUGCAGGGGGCUUGCACCUGGUCCAAAUCAGAGUGUCAGCGAGCUGUGUCUUUCCUGACAGUUACGAAGUGUAAGGAGGGCCUCCCAAGUGUGCUGCUGCCUGCAGGGUUCAGAGAACUGUCACCUACCUUGUCUCCCGGGAUCCUCACAGCAACCCUGUGAGGUGGGCAAGGGGGAUGUUCUCAACCCCGUUUAGAGGUGAAGAGACUGAGCCUUCGAGAGGGGAAGGGAGAGUUCAAGGUCACACAGGAGGGUGAGGUGGGAGGGGCCAGCUAAACCCUGGGUCCCCUGCCUCCUGGCUUAGUGCUCAGUCCACUAAGCUACACUCAAGACUUCCAGAAGUGUUGCAACAAGAGUGUCCCAGGAGAUAGGACUCUCCAGCCACGUCCCCACCUGGCCAAAGCAAGCGCACCAUGCAGAAGCAUCCUCACGCUCACCAGACAGCUGCCCCAACUCCUUCAGCAUGUAAGGCGCAGCCUCCUCCACUGACGCUGCUUGCAAAACACGAACCUCAGCCCUUCCAGCAGCCAACGAGCCCUGGCAGAAGCUCAGGGACAGGCCAGACUUCAUCCAACACAACACCAGGGCCACAGAUGCCACCUAGGCCAACCUCGGCCACAAGCACGCUGCCCUGCUCAGAGCACCUGCCACUUUCCGCUCUCGUCAAGGCCACAAUCUACCUGGGCCUGGGCUCUUCUGACCAUUUGUGCUAGAAAGUUUCAGCCCUUGUCCAUCUCCAGACUCGACGUCCUUACCUGGCUGCUGACUUUCACGUGCCAGUGGAUCAGCCAGCAAAGCACUUGAGCAGGACCCCUCAUUCUCCCACCUUUUGGGGCCUAAUGACUCCCACCAACCUCAGUAGUUCAGCGCAUCCAUCCUGCCCCCUGGGCAGCAGGUGUGUCAUGGGCCCAAGCUUGGGAACAACACUCUGCUGUUCCCACUUGCUGAGCUCCUGGCAACUCCCGUUCCAAGCACCCCAGGUUUCUUGGAAAGGAAAGGGUGACAAACAGCUAGCUGGGGGAUAAGGUGUUUAUCGCUCAGUGGGAAGGGAGGGAGGGCUGGCCGUGCAGAGUGGAGCCUGAGGCAGGGUGGUCAGACACCCCUCGGCCUCCCACACGGGCUCAGGCCCAUCCCCUGGACAUGAGGAAAUAGCAGGGAGAUUACCUCGGUUACAGAUACUGCAGAAGUUGCUGGGCCCCUCGCUGUGCUUCUUCAGGUGGUCUGCCAUGUACGCCGCCCUCAAGUACUUCCCGCAUACCUGGCAGGGCACCUUGUCUUCGUGACAGGCCAGGUGGGAGCGCAGACGGUCUCGGGUGGCAAAAGAAGCAUUGCAGGUCUGAGGGCAGAAAGGAAAACGGGGUGAGGUAAAAGCUGGCGUCCACACCCAACUCCCUACCAAGCACACUGUGGCACAAAGCCAUUUCCGGCCAACACAGGGACUCCCUGUAUAAAGAGAACUUGAGAAUGCGGCCAGGCUUCCUCCCCAGAUGCCAAGUAAGCCGUUCCUACCCCCCAUGGUCUUCCCCACAGGACCCCUGAGCUAGGAUCACUGGUUCCCACCGUCCCCCAACAUGCACAUUACAUGGCAGGCUGAGUUCUGCAAAACAAAAGAGCUAGGGGUUUUUCAUUCUUAAACAUUUAAGAACUGAUGUUAGUUGCAUUGGCUGUCAGUGAAUUUACAGAAGAGCUAUUGGCAUAUAAACGGAACAGUCUUCACCUUCUCCACCCUGGGUUUCCCCUGGUUGCUUUAUACAAAGAAUCCAAUUUACUCACUUUAUUCAAAAGCGACAUUAAUCGUGGCCACAGGGAAAUGGAAAGGAAAGGCAGGACAGAACACAGAGAUUACUCUUCAUAAUAUCCGUGUGCAUUUGUAUUGAGAAAGCAGCCCAUAAAGUGACAGUGUCAAUUUUGCGAAUGUGAAAAUUAGCAAAGAAUGAGGGCCGGAGGCUCCGGGGGCAUCUGUGGAACCCCAGUGCUGGUGCCAACAAGGAUGGCACCACCCUGCACUGACCAGUGCCCCCCACCGUGCCAGGCAGGCCCCAGGCUCCACCUUCAGGGGCCUUCGUCGCAUGCACUGCAUCCUCACGGUGGCCCUCAAGGCAGGCCGUGCUCUCACCCCACCGGUCAGGAGCUGCAGUCAGUACCACACCCUGGGAAGGCAGCCCCGGGUCCACCCCCAACAUCUCUCCCCCAGCCCAGGCCUGCAUGGCUGCCCAGCUGUGGAGGUCACGGAACAUCGGGAAAGCCCUCAGGAGAGUUGAAUCUGGUGACCUUCACUAUUUUGGAUCUACGGAUGUGUCUCAGGAGUUCUAGUCAAGGUUGACUCAUUUCUUUUCUCUGUACGUGUCUGUUUACUACUUGAGAGCCACAAAAGAAAGCAACAUUCACCUUUAAUUGCAUCACAGACCGAACGUUAACCCACUGAAGACCCGCCACCCCAUUAACUGGCUAGAAUGGAGGUGUUCCUGCGGCUCCACUGAACAGAAACAGAUCCUGAGAUCCUGAGACCUUAAGUAAAUACUACGGUAGGUGGUACACCAUCUGCAGUUUGCUGAACCCGCGGAUGUGGAACCGCGGACGUGGAAGAAUCGCAUACACAGAGGGCCGACACUAAGUUGUAUGUGUAUUUUUGACUGCUCGGAGGGUUGACGCCCCUAACCUCCAUGUUGUUCAAGGGUCAAGUGUACUGCUUUCAUGUUUUAUAUAUUGAGUUUAUUCAUCUGACAAAUGAGGGAGCUAAGUUUAGAGAGUAAUUUGCACAAAGCACAGGGCUCAGCUACUAGAGAAAGCAACACCCUGCCACUGCCAGGCCAGUGCCCUACCGAUCCUCCUGGCCACCCUGGGGUAUUCCCCUCCUCCCCGAUUUACAGCCGGGCAGACAGAGGUCCUGAGAGGACUCGGGGCAGCUGGACUGAGAACCAGCCCCUGAGCAUAUGUUCUUACCACCUCCAGCCUCAGCAGAGGUAGCUUCUGGUGAAAGGUGUGGAUAGGUUUUAUCAGUGUACUUGGUAGCCAGGGCUGUCCUGAGAGAGGUGACAGGAUCUGUGCAGGGAAACAUGAGCACUUAGGUGACUCAGAAAGCACCAUGGGUGCUUGGUCUCAUGGCCACAGGUGGGCCCCCCGUCAGGAACCCUGUGACCCAAUCAUAGGCCACAGUGGGUGGAAAACUGAAUCUUCCCCCAGCCCCACCAGACUGUAAACCAGAGUAAGGGGUGCUGUGAACACCUGCGGGAGAGAGGGGUGCACCUGUCGAUUUAUCUGGGGACGAGAGCUGGCUUGGCUGGACAGCGACCUGAGGACCACCGCCACAAUGACAAGAGGCAGUGUGGUCUACACUGCAGAACUCAAAGGAGCCAACCACGGACCAGGUGUAAGAAAAUGCAGCUGAAAGCACACAUUCAGGAUCCCACCUUCUGUGGCCCCUGGGAGAGGGUGCCACUAGAGGGAUGUGAAAGAGAUGCCUUGUUUCUCUUGCCAACUUUCUUUUGGGAUGUGUCCCGUAAAGCACUGCCUGUCAUACUUUGCUAACGAAAGAUAAUGGACAUCCAGACCUCAAUUAUCCAAAAGUGGAUUAUCCAUUUGGGGGAUUAGCUAAGCAAAAUUAAAACCGCAGACCAGGCUGAGUUCUCCCACCCUGUCCUCCAUUGAUUAUCUCUCAAGGAAUGAAAGCAAACUUUAGCCUGAGCAAACAUAAUUAGGAAUGUAAAUCUGCUGCUGGGAAAACAAAACAAAACAAAACACAAACGCAACAAAAACUAUCACCGUGUUACAAAGCCAAGCUGAAAUGGUGGUUGGCUUCUCUGUGCCAGGAUUGACCCUUUGUGGCUGGAGUACCCAAGGCUUUCUGGAGGAACUGUGAAAGUGCCCAAGUCCGAGUCUAGGCCUGCCAGAAGUUCAGACAACACCGAACAUAAAAGGCCUGGUCACUUAACCCAGGAGAGAAAGGCGAGAAAGGCUGAGGAGAGAGAUGGAUCUCAAAGAAGGGGGUGCCCGGAACCUCCAUGCUGGGGCCACUCAAGAGAAAAACACUUCCUGUCCUGGAGGCAGGGAGAAGGCAGAGGGACCCUGACGGGAUCAGCACCCCAAUCGAUCGCCGGUGGUGCUGGGAACGGCCGCCUCGCCCCCAGCCCUGCGCACAGGCAGCCUGCUAUUGCUGGAAGCACACCUGCCAGGUCCUGGCCCAGCCCCCAGAGAGGUUCAUCACCACUCAACACUGAGCCCCAGCCAGGCUCCCUUCCCUCCCUGCCAGUUUCUCCCUGUCCCAGACUCCCGAAUGCUUUUCUUCCCAAGGGUUGAACAGCUCAGGAAUGGGGCCUCAAUGGUACCACGGGCACCGGUGCACACCUCCUCUUGGUGGCCUUUGAGCCUGGCAGCCUCAGGGGGUAUCUUAAGUAGUCUUUUCCAUAGCCUUGGAAAAGUCUGAGGGCAAUGCACGUGGGCUCAGCACCAUGGGCCUUGCUGGCCCCCUUCUUCUCAAGGGUGUCAGCUCCCUUAUUCGCACUUCAAUUCCUAAUGAGUUAUCCCUCCAGCCCAAACCGCCCCAACCAGCCCCCGAGAAGUGGGGCCACUGGGAGCAAUGGGAGAGGUCUGAGCUGUUCUAGCCUCUCGGCUUCAGGCUGAACUCCAUCUGGGGUCAAUGUCCCAGUCCACAGCACUAACAGAUCGAGCAGCAUUGGGGUAUCUGGGCCAUUUAAGGACACUCAGGCCAAACCCCAAGGAGACUUGCAUGUCACUGCCAAGCCUGAGCCCCCAUGCCCCCACGUUCGGAGGGCCUUUCCCCUCAAGCUGUGGCACCCGUCUCUAUAACUGGCCCCUACUGUCUCCUCUGUGGCAUCAGGAGGGACCGAGAGGUAUGGCCCAUGCCCAACUCUGCCAGGGGCUAAAGGAACCAACUCCCAGAGAGCUGUCUCUUCACCUCUGAUACUUUCAGCAGACACACCAUGCAAAACAGAUGCCCCUGCUGUUACAAAGCCCAGGAACACCUGGCCAGCCAGCUCAGAGCCUGAGAGGCAGCACGUCUUCACCUGCAUCUGCCAGGUCACUGUUAGGGGAGUUCUGGCUGUGGGGCUGGAGGCAGGGCCAGCAGGCUUGUGAGAGUGUGUGUGUCGGAGGGGCAGGGCAGGAGCAGGCUCGUACACCAAGGGACAGUAAUGUCAGUGUUAUGACACAGACCAAGGACAAAACACACAAAGCCUCAAAUGUUAGAAUGAAAACUUUUAUCAUCACUCCUAUUAUCCCCGCA